rnacentral:rRNA from 1 species
UCGGGAAUCUUGCACAAUGGGCGAAAGCCCGAUGCGGCAACACCGCGUGGGUGACGAAGGUCUUCGGAUCGUAAAGCCCUGUUGUUGGGGAUGAAGGGCGAAGGGUUAAUAGCCCCUAGCCUGACGGUACCCUUCGAGGAAGCCCCGGCUAACUACGUGCCAGCAGCCGCGGUAAUACGUAGGGGGCGAGCGUUGUCCGGAAUUAUUGGGCGUAAAGAGCGUGUAGGCGGUUCGGUAAGUCUGCCGUGAAAACCUGGGGCUCAACCCUGGGCGUGCGGUGGAUACUGCCGGGCUAGAGGAUGGCAGAGGCGAGUGGAAUUCCCGGUGUAGCGGUGAAAUGCGCAGAUAUCGGGAGGAACACCAGUAGCGAAGGCGGCUCGCUGGGCCAUUCCUGACGCUGAGACGCGAAAGCAUGGGGAGCGAACAGGAUUAGAUACCCCCGUAGUCC